rnacentral:rRNA from 1 species
GACGAACGCUGGCGGCGUGCUUAACACAUGCAAGUCGAACGGUGAAGGGACCAGCUUGCUGGUUCUGGCUGAGUGGCGAACGGGUGAGUAACACGUGGGUAACCUGCCCCCUUCUUCUGGAUAACCGCAUGAAAGUGUGGCUAAUACGGGAUAUUCUGGGUCUGUCGCAUGGCGGGCCCGGGAAAGAUAUUGCUUCGGUGGGGGAUGGGCUCGCGGCCUAUCAGCUUGUUGGUGGGGUGAUGGCCUACCAAGGCGGUGACGGGUAGCCGGCCUGAGAGGGUGGACGGUCACACUGGGACUGAGACACGGCCCAGACUCCUACGGGAGGCAGCAGUGGGGAAGAUUGCACAAUGGGCGCAAGCCUGAUGCAGCGACGCCGCGUGAGGGAUGGAGGCCUUCGGGUUGUAAACCUCUUUCGCCAGUGAAGCAGGCCUGCUCCUUGUGGGUGGGUUGACGGUAGCUGGAUAAGAAGCGCCGGCUAACUACGUG